rnacentral:rRNA from 1 species
AGCGAACGCUGGCGGCAGGCUUAACACAUGCGAGUCGAGCGGGCACUUUCGGGUGUCAGCGGCGGACGGGUGAGUAACGCGUGGGAACGUGCCCUCUGGUUCGGAAUAACUCAGGGAAACUUGAGCUAAUACCAGAUACGCCCUUUUGGGGAAAGGCUUGCUGCCGGAGGAUCGGCCCGCGUCUGAUUAGCUAGUUGGUGAGGUAACGGCUCACCAAGGCGACGAUCAGUAGCCGGUCUGAGAGGAUGAUCAGCCACACUGGGACUGAGACACGGCCCAGACUCCUACGGGAGGCAGCAGUGGGGAAUAUUGGACAAUGGGCGCAAGCCUGAUCCAGCCAUGCCGCGUGAGUGAUGAAGGCCUUAGGGUUGUAAAGCUCUUUUAUCCGGGACGAUAAUGACGGUACCGGAGGAAUAAGCCCCGGCUAACUUCGUG